AUUAGAUGAAUUAUAGAUUACUUUUCCUUUGUGUUUUUUUUUAUCCAAAAACUAACUCAUAUCCGAUCAAGUAGAGGUUUUUACUAUAAAGAUAUAUUACAUUUCAUGUUAGAAUGACCCAAGUAUUGCAUACAUGUACCAAAAAUCACAAUUUGGAAUUAGUGCCACUUUAAUAUAGAACACGAGAUGUCAUUUGGACUGAAUAGAAUUUCAAGCCCUCGAUUCCUAUACUAUUGCAAGAGAAUGAUCACAAAUACAAUAAAACGUAAUUUACUUCAACCUAUUUUUUUUACAAAUAUCAAUUCAUCCUCUUGGCUGCAACCUCAACGCUCCGCCAGCUAAGCUCACCGUCUUUUUCUGAUCCAUACUGGUACUGCAAUGCUAAUUUUCGUGUAUUUACAUCACAUAUAGCUACUCUGUCAUUAAUUACAGUUUUAUUAAAUACCUUCAUAAUCAUACGGUACCAGAAAAAUUUAAAGGC
rnacentral:lncRNA from 1 species